rnacentral:lncRNA from 1 species
GAAUGAUUAUUUGGAGUUAGGUACAAAAUUGGAUUUUUGAAGACCUGGAGAGAUCCGGAUCUAUUAUUAUGUUGACAAACGGAACAAACUCUAUUUUGUUUAACGUAGAUGAGCCAAUAUUGAUUUCCAGGCUAAAAAUUAGACCUUAAGUUUUAUAUCUCUUAUUUCUCAAAGCAAACCUCUUAUUAAAAGGUUUUUUAUUGAAAAAAUACUGCUACCUGGGAGCUGUUAACCUUGGUAAAUUAUUGGUGUUUUGUGACUCUGUCUGAAAAAUGACUGUGGUUAAUUACAUAGUGCGAUCUUUCCAAGUCACCAGAAGCAGGAAGUAGUCGUUUGCUUGUAACAUAAGAUGAUUUACGUGUAUGU